AUCGUAGCGGAAUCGAGUGGAGUUGACGUUCGUCCGGCGUAUUAAGUCGUCGGUUGGGGUGGUGUUUUGGUUUGUCGUUCUGUCAAGGACGGCGGCUGGGACUGCUGCUUUGACUGGCGGUGUAUGUACGUUGGUGUGCGCUGAGGCAGUUAGUGCUGUGGCUGGAUGCGUGUUUAGAGGACCGACUUCGGUUGGAAACCUGAGUACGUGGAAGGCUGUUGGUGCUGGCUGUAGACCUUAGAUGGUCGCUCGGUGUUAGUUAAUGACCCAUUCGACCCGUCUUGAAACACGGACCAAGGAGUUUAAGGUGUACGCGAGUCAAAGGGCUUUUAAACCCCAAGGCGAAAUGAAAGUAAGGCAUAGAAAUGUCUUAGGUGUGAUCGGUCGGUGAAACGGCUGCGCAACACCGCUCCGUGCUGAGUACUUGUACUGGUGCGGCAGUUGAGCGUACUCUUUGAGACCCGAAAGAUGGUGAACUAUGCCAGGGCAGAACGAAGCCGGAGGAAACUCUGGUGGAAGUUCGUAGCGGUUCUGACGUGCAAAUCGAUCGUCUGACCUUGGUAUAGGGGCGAAAGACUAAUCGAACCAUCUAGUAG
rnacentral:rRNA from 1 species